UAGGGAAUCUUGGACAAUGGGGGAAACCCUGAUCCAGCCAUGCCGCGUGAGUGAUGAAGGCCUUCGGGUUGUAAAACUCUUUCGACGGGGACGAUAAUGACGGUACCCGUAGAAGAAGCUCCGGCUAACUUCGUGCCAGCAGCCGCGGUAAUACGAAGGGGGCUAGCGUUGUUCGGAAUUACUGGGCGUAAAGCGCGCGCAGGCGGCCUUUCAAGUCAGGGGUGAAAGCCCAGAGCUCAACUCUGGAAUUGCCUUUGAGACUGUGAGGCUUCGAGUACGGGAGAGGUGAGUGGAAUUCCCAGUGUAGAGGUGAAAUUCGUAGAUAUUGGGAAGAACACCGGUGGCGAAGGCGGCUCACUGGCCCGUUACUGACGCUCAGGCGCGACAGCGUGGGGAUCAAACAGGAUUAGAUACCCCCGUAGUCC
rnacentral:rRNA from 1 species